rnacentral:rRNA from 1 species
GAAACUAACAAGGAUUCCCCUAGUAACUGCGAGUGAACCGGGAAAAGCUCAAAUUUUGAAUCUGGCGGUCCAAGGGCCGUCCGAGUUGUAAUCUAGAGAAGCGUCUUCCGCGCUGGACCGUGUAUAAGUUUCCUGGAAUGGAACGUCGUAGAGGGUGACAAUCCCGUCUUUGACACGGACUCCCAGUGCUAUGUGAUGCGCUCUCGACGAGUCGAGUUGUUUGGGAAUGCAGCUCAAAUAGGGUGGUAAAUUCCAUCUAAAGCUAAAUACAGGCGAGAGACCGAUAGCGAACAAGUACCGUGAGGGAAAGAUGAAAAGAACUUUGGAAAGAGAGUUAAACAGUACGUGAAAUUGCUGAAAGGGAAACGCUUGAUGUCAGUCGCAUCGUCCGGGGAUCAGCCUCGCUCUUUUGCUCGGCGUACUUCCUGGUCGAUGGGUCAGCAUCGGUUUCGACCGUCGGAAAAUGGCUCGAGGAACGUGGCACUCUUCGGGGUGUGUUAUAGCCUCGAGUCGAAUACGACGGUCGGGACCGAGGAACUCAGCACGACCUUCGGGUUCGGGGCUUCGGCUCACGUUCGCGUGCUUAGGAUGCUGGCAUAAUGGCCUUAAGCGACCCGUC